UAAGCAGACCGGGCGCUGGCAGGUGGAGGUCGUCGCGAGGGUCGGCGGGCGUGGCGCGUGAGCCGCUGGCAGCUAUAUAAACCCGGGACAGCGGACUGUGCGCCAGUCUGCACCGCCGGCACAACACACCUCCAACACGUACAAGCUGGUGAUCCUGCCCCUGCUGUUCGCCGCCGUGUCGGCCGGCUACCUGGGAGGCGUGGCCGUGGCGCCAGCGGCCGUCGCCGCCCCCGUGGCCUACGCCGCCCCCGUGGCCUACGCCGCCCCCGCCAUCGCCGCCGCCCCC
rnacentral:misc_RNA from 1 species